CAGCAGCCGGGAAUACGGAGGGGGCUAGCGUUGUUCGGAAUUACUGGGCGUAAAGCGCACGUAGGCGGCUUUACAAGUCAGAGGUGAAAGCCUGGUGCUCAACACCAGAAUUGCCUUUGAGACUGUAUCGCUUGAACGUCGGAGAGGUGAGUGGAAUUCCGAGUGUAGAGGUGAAAUUCGUAGAUAUUCGGAAGAACACCAGUGGCGAAGGCGGCUCACUGGACGACUGUUGACGCUGAGGUGCGAAAGCGUGGGGAGCAAACAGGAUUAGAUACCCGAGUAGUCCCUGUCUCUUAUACAC
rnacentral:rRNA from 1 species